rnacentral:rRNA from 1 species
UACGUAGGGGGCGAGCGUUGUCCGGAUUCAUUGGGCGUAAAGCGCUUUAAGGCGGUUCGGUAAGUCGGGUGUGAAACCUCCAGGCUCAACCUGGAGACGCCACUCGAUACUGCUGUGACUAGAGUUCGGUAGGGGAUCACGGAAUUCCUGGUGUAGCGGUGAAAAUGCGCAGAUAUCAGGAGGAACACCGGUGGCGAAGGCGGUGAUCUGGGCCGACACUGACGCUGUAGAGCGAAAGCGUGGGGAGCGAACAGG